rnacentral:rRNA from 1 species
AGUAAUGUCUGGGAAACUGCCUGAUGGAGGGGGAUAACUGCUGGAAACGGUAGCUAAUACCGCAUAACGUCUUCGGACCAAAGUGGGGGACCUUCGGGCCUCACGCCAUCGGAUGUGCCCAGAUGGGAUUAGCUAGUAGGUGGGGUAAUGGCUCACCUAGGCGACGAUCCCUAGCUGGUCUGAGAGGAUGACCAGCCACACUGGAACUGAGACACGGUCCAG